rnacentral:tRNA from 1 species
AGGGGAGUAGCUCCAACGGUUAGAGCGACUGAUUCCAAAUCAGUAGGUUCUGGGUUCGAAUCCCAGCUCCCCUGCCA